rnacentral:rRNA from 1 species
GAUGAACGCUGGCGGUAUGCUUAACACAUGCAAGUCGAACGGUCACUUCGGUGAUAGUGGCGGACGGGUGAGUAACGCGUGAGAAUUCUGUCUUCAGGUCGGGGACAACAGUUAGAAAUGACUGCUAAUACCGGAUAUGCCUUAUGGUGAAAGAUUUAUCGCCUGAAAGAGAGCUCGCGUCAGAUUAGCUAGUAGGUGGUGUAAGAGACUACCUAGGCGACGAUCUGUAGCUGGUCUGAGAGGACGAUCAGCCACACUGGAACUGAGACACGGUCCAGACUCCUACGGGAGGCAGCAGUGGGGAAUUUUCCGCAAUGGGCGAAAGCCUGACGGAGCAAUACCGCGUGAGGGGACGAAGGCUUUUGGGUCGUAAACCUCUUUUCUCAAGGAAGAUGAUGACGGUACUUGAGGAAUAAGCAUCGGCUAACUCUGUGCCAGCAGCCGCGGUAAU